ACGACCUUACUUGAACAGGAUCUGUUCUACAUGCUCGUCCCACUGCAUCCUUUACCAAUAAGGAGGCAAGCACUUCAGUCUGGUUGAUGCAUUCUGACCUCUAAGCUUAGAGGUUGUCUGACAGACU
rnacentral:snoRNA from 1 species